UUUCAACAAAAUCAUCCAUUGAUUAUCCAAAAAUUAUUGAUAAUCCAAGCAGGUUAAAAAACAAGAAUCCUUAGCACAUUUAGGAAGCAACCCACGGGUUGCAAAUGGAUCCAUUCUCCAAAAAUCGACCCAUCCCUGAUCAAUUUUUAAGUGGGCCUUUGAAUUGAUUUGAGAUUUCUAGAGUUCUGCAUUGGAGGUAUUGAAAAGCAAUGAUAAUCCUCUCAGCCAAAUGGAACAAGAUUGGAUCAUCAAGCUGAUCAUUUUAACAACCAUCAUCUGGCCUUAAAAAGACCAAAUUGGGGUGAUCUUAGCAAUCGAACUGACCAUUUUUUCCGUGUUUAUUGCACUCUUGAUACGGUCACUCUUCACCAAUCUGAUUAUCAGCUUCUUCAACAUCAAUAAGGGCAUUGCCACCAUCAUGGCCACAAUCAACAUCAGGAUCACAACUUAGUGUAAGUUCCUCUUUAUAUUGGUUUUCAAGCUUCUUUUUUUCAAGAGGUGGCUGUGCAAAACACAUGCCAAUGUGUCAAAUGUGACUGAGAUCUGAGCCAUAGACAGAAUAAUACUGUAACAUCCUCUUUUUUUUCAACGGUAGGUAUCCCAAACCUCACUGUUUCUCAUGGUGUGGUCCACCUGAGUUUUGGAUCAGCCUCAUUCAUGCUCUAAUAUGGACGGGCAAGUCUGAUGGACGGAUUAGAUUUGUCACAACAUCUAUGUGGGGCCUACCAUCGUUAAAAAAAAGAAAAGAAAA